ensembl:lncRNA
CAACAGCCACUUGAAGAAAUUCCAUAUAGUAGAACAUGUCACAUUUGUCAAUUUUAACCUGAAAUUUAUUAACAGGAAUGUCUGUACUACGAACAUGUGUUAAGUAUAGGAAUAUAUUGCAUGUUUUCCUACUUGUAAGAAGUAAAUUUCUGUCUUUACAAGCUAACACCAUUAAUUUCAGCUCUUAGUUAUUCCCAUUGCAUAUUCUUUUAAACAGACUUAAUCAGACAAAUUUUGUGUUAUUUAGCAAGUAAUGCUUGGUUAUUACUACAAGUUCUUGAAGUCAUAACACUUAAAAUUGCAGUACAUAUAUAUUAUUCUUACUAUGAUGAUGUGAGUUGGCUGCUAGUCAUUUAACUAUAUAUAAGGUCUUACUAUUUCUUAGUGCAAUUACUUAAAAUAAGUGUCUUGGAAAUUGUUUUUAUUUUUAGAUUUAAAACUGUUCUUACUAAAGUUGAUUUGUUAAAGAUUGGACAAUGUAUAUUUAAUAAUUAAUGUUCCCCAGUGAUAUUUAUUGUCAGUCAGGAUUCACUUUACAGUCAAUAAAUAACCUAAAAAAUCUGAAUUUUGUAGCCAGUUUUGUCUAAUUCUUAGAGCAAUGCUUUGGGAAAUUGGAGAUAUAUAUAUAUGAAUAUAAAUAUGUAUAUCUGCUAUAUACCUUUUUUAUGAUGGUUUUGUCCUACUACUGCAAAUGUUUCUUUUUGUUUGUUUUUUCCUAACAUACAUAAAAUUUUCUUAACCAUAUUUAAAGCUACCAGCUUGUUAUUCUGACAAAACCCUGUGAGAAUAAAUUAUUUUUAUUAAUACUCUACAUGUCAAAACCUUGCAGUCAGUCAAAUAACAGAAGGAGUGUUCAUUGUCUCUCUCCCCCACUGAUGCUGUUCUAGGAGUUGGAGUUAGAAGAUUCAGACAUCAAGUGAAACAGUGAAAGAUGAUAAGAAAACACUUGAUUCUCACAAGCAGGUACUCAAGUGGAACUUUUGCAAGUGGGCUCUCAUCAGGAGUGAAACACUGGCUGCUGACUCUGCUGCUUUUGGUCACAGACUGCUGCCUUUAUGAACCAGGUUUGUCCUUCUGCCUCUUUUGUGUUUUAUAUAGACUUGAUUACAAAUGAGGCACUUGUCCUCUUAACCUGGGAGUUGCAGCAGGUCAGCAGCAGCAGGAGUUACUGGCUGCUUCCCAUCAGCUGACUCCUUUUAGCCAACCCUUCCCAUUUCCUGCGCCAAUCCGAUUUUUCCAAGCAAUUAGGAAGAAAACUAAACCAUAACUUUUACAAAAUCACUUUAGGGAAGAUGUUGCUUAAUUGUUUGCUUCAUUCAAAUGAACACUUCUAACAUUCACUUCUCUGAGUAAGAAUGCCUUUUAUGAGAAGCUGCUAAAAAUAGGAAUUUGAGAGCAGGGAUGUUAAAAGUAGGGCCAGAGAGGAGCAAAUUUGUCGCAGGGCAAGUUCUGUUUGCACUGAGGGAGUACUAUCAAUUUUGUCUCUGUCCUGUCUUUCACUGGUCCUGAAACAACAGUGCCUGCUUGAACAAACCUGCUCCUCAGGAGUGAUUGGAUCUGGUGCUCUGGGUGUUAGCAGCUGCAGUGCUGAACCACAGGCAGACAUGAGAUCUGACUGGAUCACCCUUGCUAACAUUUUCAUGUAGAACCCAUAACUCACUUGAUCAGCAACACUUGCUUGAAUGCUGCCUUUUGCCUUGGCUCUUCCCACUAAAUAGUUCUUGAGCUGGGAAGUGGUCCUGAUCUAAGAAUCUGCAGUAAUCUUUAAUUCUGCCUUUAUAACUCAGGAAACCACAGUAACCUUCAUUUUAGAAUGUGAACAUUUUUUGGACAAACACUGAAUUGUAGCUUCAUUGACAUGAGCUAAAGUAAGCUCUUUCAGUGGUCCUAGAGUGGUAGCUGUAAAAGGCAAUCAGAGUGAAGAUCCUGAAUAAUUUUCUUUUCCAGCCAGGUUUUAAUGUAUUUCCCCUGCAAAUCAAUUCAUGUAUCAUAGAGCUCAAUUACCUGCCCAUAAAAUGAGAGUUGUUGCUCAGAACUGUGGAAUUAGGGUAACAAGAACUGUAAUGAUACACUAGAUAAACACUGUUGCAAUACUCUCUCAGCCCUGUUAGGGU